rnacentral:rRNA from 1 species
UACGUAGGGGGCGAGCGUUAUCCGGAUUUACUGGGUGUAAAGGGUGCGUAGGCGGCUUGGUAAGUCAGAAGUGAAAGGUUGGGGCUCAACCCCAGAGCUGCUUCUGAAACUGCUGAGCUAGAGUGUGGGAGAGGAAAGUGGAAUUCCGAGUGUAGCGGUGAAAUGCGUAGAGAUUCGGAGGAACACCAGUAGCGAAGGCGACUUUCUGGACCAUAACUGACGCUGAGGCACGAAAGCGUGGGGAGCAAACACG